rnacentral:misc_RNA from 1 species
GAUGAAGAACGUAGCGAAAUGCGAUACGUAAUGUGAAUUGCAGAAUUCAGUGAAUCAUCGAAUCUUUGAACGCAUAUUGCGCUCUCUGGUAUUCCGGAGAGCAUGCUUGUUUGAGUAUCAGUAAACACCUCAACUCCCUUUUCUUUUUUGAAAUUGGAGCUGGACUUGAGUGAUCCCAACGCUUUCUUCCAAGAAAGUGGCGGGUUGCUUGAAAUGCAGGUGCAGCUGAACUUUUCUCUGAGCUAUAAGCAUAUCUAUUUAGUCUGCCUAAAAAACAGAUUAUUACCUUUUCUGCAGCUAACAUAAAGGAGACUAGUUCUUGUGCUGACUGAUGCAGGAUUCACAGAGACAGCUUCGGCUGACUUUGUAAACUCGAUCUCAAAUCAAGUAAGACUACCCGCUGAACUUAAGCAUAUCAAUAAGCGGAGGA